rnacentral:lncRNA from 1 species
AAAAAGAACAGAUUUAUUGAAUAGAUCCAUCCAAGUUUCAGAUUGGCUUCUCUCUCAACUGAAUCCCAAAGUUACUAUUUAUUAGAUAAUUCAGCAUUUACUGGUUGUGUUUAUACUUCUUAAACAACAAAGCAUGCUCAAAUAUUAUCUGUAGCCAUUUAAAAUAGAUUAUAUGGAGGCUAAGUAGAAAUGGGGUAUUUAUAGAUAACAGAGCUAUUUGCAAAGGAUUGUAUCAGCUUCUUGAAAAUCAUCAGGGCAUUGUCUAAUAUUUAGAUAAGCAGAAAAACAAGUGAAUGCUCAAUCAAAUCUAGUUUUGUUAUGUGUCAGGCACUGGGAAUCUUUUUUAAUGAAUUAAUAAUUCUUAGAAUAUCUCCUACAUCCAUACUAAUAGGCUACAUUUUUUCAUUUGUCCUGCUUAUCACAAGUGUGGCUAACUUCAUAUUUGUUUCAAUGAUGGAAUUAUUUCAGAGUGUUUUGGCCUUUUAGUCCAUUUGCUGCAAGUUGUAAUGGAAAGCGCACGUCUCUGGAACUCGGGAGUCUUGGAUCCUAUACAUGAUUCUAUGCAUAAAUAGAAAUGAAAUUAAGUUCCUGGAUACCAAGCUAGUAUAAAUCAGGUGAUCCUAAUUAAAAUGACUCUGUUAGCUAA